UGGGGAAUAUUGCACAAUGGGGGAAACCCUGAUGCAGCGACGCCGCGUGAACGAAGAAGGUAUUCGUAUCGUAAAGUUCUGUCCUAUGGGAAGAUAAUGACAGUACCAUAGAAGAAAGCUCCGGCUAAAUACGUGCCAGCAGCCGCGGUAAUACGUAUGGAGCGAGCGUUGUCCGGAAUUAUUGGGCGUAAAGGGUACGCAGGCGGUUUGAUAAGUCGAAUGUUAAAGAUCGGGGCUCAACCCCGCAAAGCAUUGGAAACUGAUAAACUUGAGUAGUGGAGAGGAAAGUGGAAUUCCUAGUGUAGUGGUGAAAUACGUAGAUAUUAGGAGGAAUACCAGUAGCGAAGGCGACUUUCUGGACACAAACUGACGCUGAGGUACGAAAGCGUGGGGAGCAAACAGG
rnacentral:rRNA from 1 species